rnacentral:rRNA from 1 species
AGAGUUUGAUCCUGGCUCAGGAUGAACGCUAGCGGCAGGCCUAACACAUGCAAGUCGAGGGGUAGAAUGUCUUCGGAUGUUUGAGACCGGCGCACGGGUGCGUAACGCGUAUGCAACCUACCUCUUACUGGGGAAUAGCCCGGAGAAAUUCGGAUUAAUGCCCCAUAUGCUCGUACGACCUCAUGGUCGAGCGAGGAAAGCUCCGGCGGUAAGAGAUGGGCAUGCGUCCUAUUAGCUUGUUGGUGAGGUAACGGCUCACCAAGGCUACGAUAGGUAGGGGGCCUGAGAGGGUGACCCCCCACACUGGUACUGAGACACGGACCAGACUCCUACGGGAGGCAGCAGUGAGGAAUAUUGGGCAAUGGAGGAAACUCUGACCCAGCCAUGCCGCGUGCAGGAAGACGGCCCUAUGGGUUGUAAACUGCUUUUGUACGAGAAUAAACCUUUCCACGUGUGGAAAGCUGAAGGUACCGUACGAAUAAGGAUCGGCUAACUCCGUGCCAGCAGCCGCGGUAAUACGGAGGAUCCAAGCGUUAUCCGGAUUUAUUGGGUUUAAAGGGUCCGUAGGCGGGUCUUUAAGUCAGUGGUGAAAGCCUGCAGCUUAACUGUAGAAUUGCCAUUGAUACUGGAGACCUUGAGUGUAGUAGAAGUAGGCGGAAUAAGGCAUGUAGCGGUGAAAUGCAUAGAUAUGCCUUAGAACACCGAUUGCGAAGGCAGCUUACUAUGUUACAACUGACGCUGAGGGACGAAAGCGUGGGGAGCGAACAGGAUUAGAUACCCUGGUAGUCCACGCCGUAAACGAUGAUUACUCGCUGUUAGCGAUAUACAGUUAGCGGCCAAGCGAAAGCAUUAAGUAAUCCACCUGGGGAGUACGCCGGCAACGGUGAAACUCAAAGGAAUUGACGGGGGCCCGCACAAGCGGUGGAGCAUGUGGUUUAAUUCGAUGAUACGCGAGGAACCU